rnacentral:rRNA from 1 species
UACGUAGGGUGCGAGCGUUGUCCGGAAUUAUUGGGCGUAAAGGGCUCGUAGGCGGUUUGUCGCGUCGGGAGUGAAAACCUCGGGCUUAACUCGGGGCUUGCUUUCGAUACGGGCAGACUGGAGGUAUGCAGGGGAGAACGGAAUUCCUGGUGUAGCGGUGAAAUGCGCAGAUAUCAGGAGGAACACCGGUGGCGAAGGCGGUUCUCUGGGCCGAAACUGACGCUGAGGAGCGAAAGCGUGGGGAGCAAACAGG